rnacentral:rRNA from 1 species
UACGUAGGGUGCGAGCGUUGUCCGGAAUUAUUGGGCGUAAAGAGCUCGUAGGCGGUCUGUCGCGUCUGCUGUGAAAUCCCGAGGCUCAACCUCGGGCUUGCAGUGGGUACGGGCAGGCUAGAGUGCGGUAGGAGAGAAUGGAACUCCUGGUGUAGCGGUGGAAUGCGCAGAUAUCAGGAAGAACACCGAUGGCGAAGGCAGUUCUCUGGGCCGUAACUGAC